rnacentral:misc_RNA from 1 species
GAUGAAGAACGUAGCGAAAUGCGAUAAGUAAUGUGAAUUGCAGAAUUCAGUGAAUCAUCGAAUCUUUGAACGCACAUUGCGCCCCCCAGUAUUCUGGCGGGCAUGUCUGUUCGAGCGUCAUUUCAACCAUCAAGCCCUGCUUGUGUUGGGGUCCUGCGGCUGCCCGCAGGCCCUGAAAACCAGUGGCGGGCUCGCUAGUCACACCGAGCGCAGUAGCACAUCUCGCUCAGGGCGUGCGGCGGGCUCCAGCCGUUAAAGCACCCACCUUUCGCAAGGUUGACCUCGGAUCAGGUAGGAAUACCCGCUGAACUUAAGCAUAUCAAUAAGCGGAGGA